AUUUAUAGUACUCAUAACUUUAAAGUUAUCAACUAUUCAAAAAGAAAACCUCUAAAGGAAAUUCUGUUGUGAUGAAAUCAUUGCUUAACAUUAGAGUUAUUUAAGAUCCACAUUUAUUGAUGAAGAUCCACAUUAUAUGUGAUGAAGCAAUAACAAGUAAACCAAUUGUUUCAAGCUUACUUGUGAUAAUAUAGUAUAAAGUAUGAAUUGGAUCUGCGUAUGUUCUGAGACCUAUAUAAUAUACAUGUGUUUGUGUCCAUAAAUAAAUUAUUGAGCUUUUGGAAUCAGAGGUUGAGGCAAGUUACCAAGAAUUUCUCAGUUUUAGCUAUAAAAUCCAUUAGCUUGCAGAAUUAUUGUUUGGUUCAGUAUCUAGAGCACCCAGAGUGUGGCAAUUUUAGAUUUUCCUUAAUUGAUAAUAGUAGUGAGUUAUGAUGGCAACUAGGGUUACUAGAUUUAACAGAUGGAAAAAGCAAAUGGACAGUAAAAUAAGAAAAUCUUUAAAAGCAGUGUCAGAACUGUUUGGCAUAGGUGCAAAUAAUGUGUGUACUUGAAUGACCUGAGAAGAUAUAAUUUUUAAUAUUUAUUAUGUUGGCCUGUCAAAAGUUGAAAUUUCUGCAUAUUCAAUUCUAGAUCUGAUAAACAGUGUGAUUUAGUGUACUGAAUACCAAGAAAUUCUUAACUGGUGACUUUGCUUGUUUAUAUUACUUCAUUGUUUAUUUACUCUUAACUUUGGCCAGAUUAGCAAGUACUCUUAAUUUAUACUAGUUUUGUUAUUAUCCUUUUUUACUAUUAGGCUUAAAAAAAUCUGUUGGUACCAAAACUACUUCAUUCCCCAAGGUACUAAAUAGAGGAGCUCUAAUUUUUAUGCAUCUUUCCCAGUAUUAAACACUAUAUAGGAAGAGUUGGUCAGAUACAUAAUUGAGGCGGGCGCCAUGGCUCACACCCAUAAAUCCUAGCAGGUUGGGAGGCUGAGGCAGGAGAAUUGUGAGUUCAAAGCCAGCCUCAGCAACUUAGUGAGGCCCUGUCUAUAAAUAAAAUAUAAAAAAGGGCUGGGGAUGCGCCCUGCUAUCAAAAUAAAUAAGGAUAUGAAAUAGAACAGCUCCUACUAAGAUCACUUUCACAGUUUCACUUUUACUGCUAACAAUAUCAAUCAAACCCAUUACAAAUAAACAUCAUUUUAAAGUUUCCAUGUCUCCUUAAUCUGUAGUUCUGGAAAUCAAAUUUUUUAUACUAAUAUAAUUAUGAGCACUUAUUUGCAAUUAAUGCUUUAUGUGGACUUAUGUCUGUUUUAUCAUAGAUUUUAUUCCUAUGGGGUAAAACUUCUAAAAUUCUGGUACUGAGAAACUAUUACAUAUACUUUGUUCCUUAAAAAUAAAACUCAAAUAUAUUUUGCACACUUUUGAUACAAUCUUUAUUUAUUUUUUAGUUUUAGGUCGAUACAAUAUCUUUAUUUUAUUUUUAUGUGGUACUGAGGAUCGAACCCAGUUCUUCAUGCAUGCUAGGCAAAGUACUCUACCUCUGAGCCACAACCCCAACCCCUUGACAGAAGCUUAACCAGAUAAAGUAUAAUUAUAUCAGCAGCCACAAUAGAAAAUUAUCACAAAGUAAAAUAAAAAUAAAAUAAAAUAUUAUUUUAUUUUGUGAUGCUGGGAUUAAACCAGGGCUUUGUAUAUGCUAG
rnacentral:lncRNA from 1 species